AGAGGGGGCCGCUCGCGACAGCAGCUUCAUUCACUCUUCUUCUUCUACUAACUACUUGCUCGCGCCAGUUUUAGAGGAAACUGCUGUGGAAAACUCGGCCGGAAGUGUCAAGUGAAUCCAUAACAUCACCACAAACGGCUUUUCAAGCCAAGCAACCUCAGCGUGAAGAGAUCCAGACGGCAGCAGCCACACUGCAGGAAAAAUGCCCCCAUGUGACCAUCAAUGAGGAUGCAUUGUUUGACGAGGUUACUGGCCUGCAAGAGUUCCUAAAGGGGGGGAUCGCUUGAAGAAUGGAAAACAUUGGAGACACCGCUUAGUCAGAGAUGGAAUUACCCACUUCAAAGAGAACCACAUCCCACACACUAACCUGGCUAGAUUAGCGUCUGUUGUCAUGUGCUUACCUGGAAGUAAUACACCAGUCGAGAGAUUGUUCUCCCAAAUGAAUGAUAUAUGGACAGCAGCAAGAAAUAGGUUCACUGUUCCUGCCAUCAAGGCCAUGCUUAUUGUGAAGACAAACUUCAACCUCCCCUGCCAGGAGUAUAUAAUAGAUAAUAACAUAGGAUAUUUAAUGAUAUAUUGAUAUUAUAUAUAAUAGAUAAUAACAUUGGAUAUUUUAAUGAUAUAUUGAUAUUAUAUAUAAUAGAUAAUAACAUUGGAUAUUUUAAUGAUAUAUUGAUAUUAUAUAUAAUAGAUAAUAACAUUGGAUAUUUAAUGAUAUAUUGAUAUUAUAUAUAAUAGAUAAUAACAUUGGAUAUUGUAAUGAUAUAUUGACCUCCGACCUGUAAAUGUCCCCGGUUUUAAUUUCAGAAAUCUGGUCACCUUAACUUAAAAUCCCAUGACUAAUGUACUGAUGUAGCUCCAUGGGAGGAGUGAAACCCGCAGACACUCGGCUCACCGUGGAAUGAGUUGGACACAUGCUAGUGUAUGUUUACAUUUACUCUGUUUACAAACAUUGGAGUAGAACAAAAACAUCCAUUUUGGGAUCUGAUGGGGCAGUUGAACUAUAUUCAUGAGGCAUUUAUAAAUGAUAUUCUUCAAGCAUCCAUAAGUGGAUGUAUCAACUGCAGAUUGGCCAUUUAAAGGGAUCGGACCUGGUCAUGUGACCUGGUCAUGUGACCGGGCAAAAGCAGUAACAGACGAGCGCCCUUCUCCAAUCUGUACCACAUGAUCACAUUGUCAACAAGGAAGAAACAUAAACCUUUAUUUUCCAUAAAAUGUUCAAACUAUUUUUCCUUAGGAAGGCAGAUAAAGCACAUCUACAAAACAAAUGGAAUCACUUUCCACCCAAUGCAAACUGCACCCACCCAAACGAACAGCGUCAGUCUGGGACAGAUUCCUCGUCAUCAGAGCUGUAGUGGAUGAUGUCAUCGAGGUCCUCUUCCAGGAGGUCAUCUAUGAAGUUAUCUUCUAGGAGGGAGGUGUCUUGGCCCUUUGCUUUGCUGUAUACCAGUUUGACAGAGUCCUGGUGUCCUGCUGACUCUCCUCUGAAGCAUGGAGAAGAGACCUCUGCUCCCAGCUCCCGACUGAUUCAAUUGCCAACCUGACACCAACAAUCGUAAUGUGUCGGGUAAAUACAAUGAAGUAUUCCUUAAAUACAAUAUCAAUUACAAGGUGCCAACAUCAAUACAUAUUAAUGAACGUUCCCCUACUACUAAUACAAUGACGUAUUCCUUAAAUACAAUAUCAAUUACAGGGUGCCAACAUCAAUACAUAUUAAUGAACGUUCCCCUACUACUAAUACAAUGAAGUAUUCCUUAAAUACAAUAUCAAUUACAGGGUGCCAACAUCAAUACAUAUUAAUGAACGUUCCCCUACUUUGCCUGCUUAGGUCAGGUGCCACAUGUGAAGCAAGGUCUUGCACAUUCUCCGAUCCCCUCUUUAGGCUUUCCCAGUGCUGCUGGACUUCCUUUAGGACAAUUACCUCUUCCUCCUUCAGCCGUCUCAGGAGCAUCACCCGGUCAAAGGCUAUUGUCUUUCUCCCGAGGCCACGCAGCUCCCGAGGCCACGCAGCUCCCGAGGCCACGCAGCUCCCGAGGCCACUCAGCUCCCGAGGCCGCGC